rnacentral:lncRNA from 1 species
CAAAAGCUAUAAAUGGGGAGAGAAAUUAAAAUUUUCAGUGGAGAUUUGAAGAACUGAUUUCAAAGCUUAAUUCCUCUAUUUCUGGGUCUUUGAAAAUUGUCCUGGACUUGAUUUUUCUGUUCGAUUCUCCCUAAUUUUGCUGUUUGCCGGAACCGUUGCUGAGCUUCGUCCUCAUUAUUUUUCACCUAACAGAGGAUGUAUAGAUGCGAAACCAAAUAUCAGUUGAUUCUUUGAUGGUUUGAUAUAGCUUUGUAAUUAUAAUCAGGUAAUUCUCUAUUUUAAUGCUUCGUCUUUCGUUUCUUUGUUUCGACCCUUAAAAUGACGAGAGUAGCCAACAAGGCAAACAGAAAGGUAAAACAUCUG